CCGAGUUUACAACUCCCAAACCCAAUGUGAACGUUACCAAACUGUUGCCUCGGCGGGAUCUCUGCCCCGGGUGCGUCGCAGCCCCGGACCAAGGCGCCCGCCGGAGGACCCCAACUCUUGUUUUUAUAGUGUCUCUUCUGAGUGGCAUAAGCAAAUAAUUA
rnacentral:misc_RNA from 1 species